UUUGAAGUACAGCUGGCUGCAAUACUCAGCCAAUCUGAGCGCGCGACGAGCCGCGUCCGACCAAUGAGUGACGCGACCAUGACAGAAAUACUAAAGCUGCACGUCAAUCAAUGACUGGGGUACUGAUCCCACUGUCAAGCAAUAAGCCAUCAGCUAUUUUUCAUCGUUUUUAUAUAUAUGUGGCCAUCAAGGCGCAGAAUCUGCACAGACUGUAUAGUGCUCAGCUCAUAUUGGUAUUUAAUCCUCCUAUGAACCGGUCACUGAAACGCGAUCUUGGAUGAAGAGGACCGGAGGGGCACCACUGAUCCCACAACAGGAAGUCAGCUCGACACAACAGCGCGCCGCAUCUCAAGGCUUCCUCUUCCGCAUCACUGAGCCAGAUAAAAACACUGAAUCCAGGCACCACCAACGCUGCCUUUUGCCCUCCUCACAACUCACACACACAGCUGCCAGGCUCCAAACUGAAGUUCAGUUCUGGAU